GUGUCAGCCGCCGCGGUAAUACGUAGGGGGCAAGCGUUGUCCGGAAUCAUUGGGCGUAAAGCGCGUGUAGGCGGUUCAGUAAGUCUGCUGUGAAAGUCCAGGGCUCAACCCUGGGAUGCCGGUGGAUACUGCUGGACUAGAGUGCGGAAGAGGCGAGUGGAAUUCCCGGUGUAGCGGUGAAAUGCGCAGAUAUCGGGAGGAACACCAAUUGCGAAGGCAGCUCGCUGGGACGUUACUGACGCUGAGACGCGAAAGCGUGGGGAGCAAACAGGAUUAGAAACCCCCGUAGUCC
rnacentral:rRNA from 1 species